CCUACGGGUGGCAGCAGUGAGGAAUAUUGGUCAAUGGGCGCGAGCCUGAACCAGCCAAGUAGCGUGAAGGAUGACUGCCCUACGGGUUGUAAACUUCUUUUGUCAAGGGACAAAAUCAGGCUCGAGAGCCUGACCGAGGGUACUUGAAGAAAAAGCAUCGGCUAACUCCGUGCCAGCAGCCGCGGUAAUACGGAGGAUGCGAGCGUUAUCCGGAUUUAUUGGGUUUAAAGGGUGCGUAGGCGGGCUGUUAAGUCAGCGGUAAAAGCCCGGGGCUCAACCCCGGCGAGCCGUUGAAACUGGCUGUCUUGAGAUGUCGAGAGGUAUGCGGAAUGCGCAGUGUAGCGGUGAAAUGCUUAGAUAUUGCGCAGAACUCCGAUUGCGAAGGCAGCAUACCGGCGGCGAUCUGACGCUGAGGCACGAAAGCGUGGGUAUCGAACAGGAUUAGAUACCCCAGUAGUC
rnacentral:rRNA from 1 species